rnacentral:lncRNA from 1 species
UUUAACUGUCUUAAAGCAUAGCAUUUAUAAAAAGCUUUUAAAACUUAAAAUCUGCCUAGAAGUGCCUGACUUUGAAAGUCUGUCUUUUGCUUUUCCUGCCAGUAGGAUGGUAGCGACGGUGUUGCAUUGGACGUGUCCACGUGCUGCUCUCUCACACAGUGAGUCAGAGAGCAGGGACAUAGGGCUCCUGUCACCCUGCUGGCCUUCAGCGAGCGUCACAGACCUGUGUUCUGCCCACUUGUUUGACAGUGGGGAAAACUGAGGCCCAGAGUUUGGCCCUGCCUUCUCUAAGGCCCAGAGCUAGGUUAUGGCAGAGGCAGGAUCAGAACUCACUCCGUCCACACCAUGCUGCCAGCAGGGAGAUGGGCUCCAUGAGAUUGAGAUAAGGAGGCCCCUCCACCACUACCACCACCAAUUUGUCACAUUUAAAAUCACCGUUCAUUUAGGUUAAGCCACUUUCCUCUGGUUUAGUUCUUUUCAGACUUGGAAAUAAUUUUCAAGGAUUUUCCUUAAUACCACACCGCCUCUUUAUGCUUAGAAAUUUUGCUUGAUUCCUUUCACUAGGUAUGAUCACAGUGCCUUCUACCCUCCCAUGUGGGGCUACUUUUCGAUUAAUUCAUUUAGCAUAUUUGUCACUCUUCGUAAGAACUUUUUUCUUCUGAUUUCAUCCCUUCUGUAUCAGCAUUUGAGUUCUUACUCUGUGCCAGGCCUUCUCGAGGAGUGGCAAGGCACUGAGUGAUGGAGGGGCCUCACCUGAGAGCUGGACUUUGUCCUGGCAGAGUCUCGUGUGCCCAUCAGGCCCCACCCCCAUUCAACCGAGGACCAUCAUUGUGUUUUAGAGCAGAGAAUGGAAAGCUGAAGGAGGGAAACAGUCAUUGGGAAAAGGAAUUAUUAUUAUUAUUUUGUUUUGUUUUGUUUUGAAUUUCUGGUCUCAAUCUAGCUAAGGAGACAUACAUUACCAAUGAAUAAUGACACCAGCUGGCAAAUGAAGGUCCAGGGGGUGAUCGCGUAGUCAGGCUUCAGAAGGUUGCCGCCAUUCGAGAUGGUCUGGAAAGAAACACAGGAUUUGGAUAACUGGAGAGGUUAAGGAGGAGCGCGUGAUGGUCCUGGUUGGAUUCAUUGCCCCCGGAUCUGAGCAGAAGCUCUGGGUGAAGUCUCGAUUUGGAGUUGAGUUGCAGGGACCCUUUUGGAGAAGUGAGUGGAGAGGUGGUGAGAGUUGUGGGAAACGGGGUUCUCACAGUUGGGGUGUCUGGAGGGCUGCGCUGGGUCCAUCUGCUGGGAGCCUGAAGGUGGUAGAGUCAAGGGGCUGGGCUGCUCUGUAUUUUACUUUUGCUUCUAAGCCCUCCCUGGCUUAUGUGUAGCUCUCAGGUGUAGGCCAGAGCAGAAUACAUCUGUGGGGUGAAAUGGUCUUCUGCUGAUUCAGGCAUCAGGACACGGAGGGAAGAACAGGAACUUUAUCAGUGCAUGAUUAAGAGAAGCCAGAUUCAGUUAGGAAUCUGCAUUCCACCCCUGAUGCCGUCUGGAGAUCCUGCUGAUGACAGCCCUAAACACGUGCGUCUCCUGAGUCCACUGCCCAGGUGCCGACUGGUUGUCCUCUAAGGCUGGCUGCAGCCCUCGUCCCGAGUGCUCUGUCCUGGCCCCCAAGAGUUCCCUUUGCCUCCUCUCUGUUUGAUCUCUGUUUAUCAUGUUGGAAUCUCUCCUCUACCAGCUUCUUGAGGGUGCAUAGCAGGCAAAUUUUUUAAGAUCUGAAUGUCUAAGUAUGCCUUUACAUCUCCACCUGACUUUAAGGACAGUUUGGCUGGUUAUAGACUUUUAGGUUGGAAAUUGUUUCCCUUCAGAAUUUUUGAAGGUGUUGGCUGCUUGUCUCCCAGCUUCAUGCAGCUGUUAAAAAGCCUGCCAGUUAUUAAAAAAAAAAUCUGAAACAUUCUCAGUUCUUGAUCUUUUGAGUGUGGCUCGUUUUAUUCUCCGUUGGAAGCGUAUAGACCCUUCUCUUGUUUCCAGUGUUCCCAGAGCAGGUCUUUUCAUCCGUUGCGUUUUUGAGUCCUUUCAGUCUGGCUGCUGGUGGCCUUCAGUUCUGGCGCGUCUUCCUUAAGUGGUUUUGCUGGUGGUUUUCUUCUCUCCGUUUGCCCUGUCUUUUCUUUAGGAACUCCUUUUACUCAGGUGCGUGACUUUCUGCAUUGGUCCUCUUAGUUUUCUUAUGUUUUCUCUCUUAUUUUCAAACUGUUUUUUGCUAAGCAGUUUCCCAAACUUUAUCCUCUACCCCUUCUAUAGAGAUUUUAAAAAUGAAGGUAUAAUUCAUAUACAGUAAAGUGCACCAAUCCUGAAAUGUUUAUUUCACUUAGUUUUCACAAUUGUAUGCAUUUGUGCAGCUACUGCCCAAAACAUAGAACAUGUUCAUCAACCUAGAAAGUUCCAUAGGGCCCUUUUCCAGUCCUGGUUUUCAUUUCUGCUGUCUUUUUUUUAAUAUCCGAGCUCCUUUUUCUCUUAAAUGUUACUUAAAAAACAUCUUAUUCUUGCUUCGCAG